AUACUUACCUGGCAGGGGAAACACCAUGAUCAGGAAGGUGGUUUUCCCAGGGCGAGGUUCACCCAUUGCACUGCGGGUGUGCUGACCUCUGCGAUUUCCCCAAAUGCGGGAAACUCGACUGCGUAAUUUGUGGUAGUGGGGGACUGCGUU
rnacentral:snRNA from 1 species